GAAGUUCAAUACCUUCGUGACUUAGAACCACAGCAAGAACCACAAAAGGCAUUUCUAUGCACCUUCCCAUAUUCGCAGGAAGAGAGAUUGUCUUUCCCUCUUUCCAAAGAGCUGAGGCAGAAGCCUAAGUUCAGGUUGUGUGAGGACACCACAGAGGCCAGCAAACCAGCAAAGCGGGUCCAGGUUUAAAGGAAGAAAUACGUCAUCUACACUGAACGAGUGCAGGGGGAAAAGUCUAAUGGCACGACUGUCCACGCUGGCAUUCAUCCCAGCCAGGCUGUUAUCAUUAGGCUAACACUGGACAAUGACCACAAAAAGAUCCGUGAAUGGAACAAAUCCUUGAAUGGAAAGCCAAAUCUCACCAUGUAGGAAAUGAAAGGGGAAAAUACAAGGAAGAAAUAAUUAACAAGAUGCAAGAAUA
rnacentral:lncRNA from 10 species